UGGGGAAUUUUGGACAAUGGGCGAAAGCCUGAUCCAGCAAUGCCGCGUGUGUGAAGAAGGCCUUCGGGUUGUAAAGCACUUUUGUCCGGAAAGAAAUCCUUGGCUCUAAUACAGUCGGGGGAUGACGGUACCGGAAGAAUAAGCACCGGCUAACUACGUGCCAGCAGCCGCGGUAAUACGUAGGGUGCAAGCGUUAAUCGGAAUUACUGGGCGUAAAGCGUGCGCAGGCGGUUUGCUAAGACCGAUGUGAAAUCCCCGGGCUCAACCUGGGAACUGCAUUGGUGACUGGCAGGCUAGAGUAUGGCAGAGGGGGGUAGAAUUCCACGUGUAGCAGUGAAAUGCGUAGAGAUGUGGAGGAAUACCGAUGGCGAAGGCAGCCCCCUGGGCCAAUACUGACGCUCAUGCACGAAAGCGUGGGGAGCAAACAGGAUUAGAUACCCUGGUAGUCCACGCCCUAAACGAUGUCAACUAGUUGCUGGGGAUUCAUUUCCUUAGUAACGUAGCUAACGCGUGAAGUUGACCGCCUGGGGAGUACGUCGCAAGAUUAAAACUUAAAUGAAUUGACGGGGUCAUAGCUG
rnacentral:rRNA from 1 species